AUGCGGGUGCUAUACAUGCAAGUCGAGCGGACAGAUGGGAGCUUGCUCCCUGAUGUUAGCGGCGGACGGGUGAGUAACACGUGGGUAACCUGCCUGUAAGACUGGGAUAACUCCGGGAAACCGGGGCUAAUACCGGAUGGUUGUUUGAACCGCAUGGUUCAGACAUAAAAGGUGGCUUCGGCUACCACUUACAGAUGGACCCGCGGCGCAUUAGCUAGUUGGUGAGGUAACGGCUCACCAAGGCGACGAUGCGUAGCCGACCUGAGAGGGUGAUCGGCCACACUGGGACUGAGACACGGCCCAG
rnacentral:rRNA from 1 species